GGAAAGAUGGCAGAGUGGUCGAUUGCAUCGGUCUUGAAAACCGACGAGGGUCACACCUCCGGGGGUUCGAAUCCCUCUCUUUCCGCCA
rnacentral:tRNA from 2 species